AUUGAACGCUGGCGGCAUGCCUUACACAUGCAAGUCGAACGGCAGCACGGGAGCAAUCCUGGUGGCGAGUGGCGAACGGGUGAGUAAUAUAUCGGAACGUGCCCAGUCUGGGGGAUAACGUAGCGAAAGCUACGCUAAUACCGCAUACGAUCUAUGGAUGAAAGCGGGGGAUCGCAAGACCUCGCGCGAUUGGAGCGGCCGAUAUCAGAUUAGGUAGUUGGUGNGGUAAAGGCUCGCCAAGCCGACGAUCUGUAGCUGGUCUGAGAGGACGACCCAGCCACACUGGGACUGAGACACGGCCCAGACUCCUACGGGAGGCAGCAGUGGGGAAUUUUUGGGACAAUGGGCGCAAGCCUGAUCCAGCAAUGCCGCGUGCAGGAUGAAGGCCU
rnacentral:rRNA from 1 species